CUCAAAUGAAAUACCACCACUCGGAACGUUGCUUCACUUAUCGAAUGAAGAGACCAAUGGUUGUUUUGCGCAGUCUUCGGGCUGUGCGCCGUCUAGGCUGGGCAUAAUUGUGGUGUUUCUUUCACCGCCACGGGAGGGGUGUUGGUUUUUUUUCCUUCUCUCCGUUUCUCCUUUUCUCUCUUUCUCCCUUUUUUGGGCGUUUGAGGGCUGGUGACCCGUGGGCGCCCAGCCGUGCGGAACUACUGCGCCAACGGGGUGGGAACUUUUCGUUUCUUCUCCGGAGUCUUGUUUCGAGACAUCUGCCAGAUGGGGAGUUUGGCUGGGGCGGCAUAUCUGUUACACGACAACGCAGGUGUCCUAAGGCGAG
rnacentral:rRNA from 1 species